rnacentral:rRNA from 1 species
GGGGGGGGGGGGGGGGGGGGCGGGGGGGGGGGGGGCGGGGGGCGGGGCGGUGGGGGCGGGGGCUGGGGGGGGGCGAGUGGCGGGCGGGGGCGGAAGGCAUGGGAAUCUACGUGUGCGGGGGGGCUAACGUGGGGAGCCUUCCGCUAAUACCGCGUACGACCUACGGGGGAAAGCCGGGGGUCUUCGGACAUGGGGCGAUUGAAUGACCCGAUGUCGGAUUAGCUAGUUGGCGGGGUAAAGGCCCACCAAGGCGACGAUCCGUAGCUGGUCUGAGAGGAUGAUCAGCCACACUGGAACUGAGACACGGUCCAGACUCCUACGGGAGGCAGCAGUGGGGAAUAUUGGACAAUGGGCGCAAGCCUGAUCCAGCCAUACCGCGUGGGUGAAGAAGGCCUUCGGGUUGUAAAGCCCUUUUGUUGGGAAAGAAAAGCAGCAGGUUAAUACCCCGCUGUUCUGACGGUACCCAAAGAAUAAGCACCGGCUAACUUCGUG